UGUAAUGUCCCUUGGCUAGUUUAGACUGGUGGAGGGAAAUAUAGUUGGAUUUGCACAGCAAACAAGAUCCUAGCCAGGACAAAUUAUUCGACGCUGUUUUUCACAGAAAAAUGAACUGAGCCUAUACUGGCCUUAUACUUGAUAUACUAAUUGAUUACAUUGCAUCUAUUGAUGCUUUUGAAAUGUUUGCAAUUCUGAAUGUAUGUCUUUUUGUGAUGUAGGAU